rnacentral:lncRNA from 1 species
CACCGUUCCUCAUAGGCUAUAUAAGUCAAAAUCUAACCUAAAAAUCAUUUAGAAACCUGAUUUAAAAAAAAAACUAAAAGAAACCCUCUGAAAAUCCCCUAGCCCUCUGAGCUCCGGCCCUAGGCCGGUCUACUCCGUUCAUCGGGCCUCCGUGCCCAUCCUCACGCGCCGUCGCCGACUCUGUCAUACACGGCGGUCGGGAUCUGAUACAGUUUGCUUUUCUCAGACAAUCUAGAAGGUAUAUUUCUUUCCUCUAUUUUGAUGUAUUAUAUGCUGGUUAUUUACAAUAAAGUAAAAGAGAAUAAAAAGUAGAGUAAGAAUAAUCGAUCACCUUCGUUUCUCGCGAAAUAUUUCUGAUAUAUUAUUGCAAAGGUUUGGUGUACAAUGAUUUCGUGAUGUGUUUCUCUAUCUCUUUUGUGUAUACUCUCUGUUUCUAUCUAUGUGUAUUUGCCCUCUGUCUCCCUGUCUUUUUCUCUGUAUAUCUAUGUGUAUUCGCCCCCCUUUUCCAAAUGAAAGGGAAGGCUUUAUAGCCUUAAUCCUUUACAUAUUCUGGGAAAGAAAUCUCCGAUUUCUUUCUAUUUUUUGUCCACUGUAUCUUUGACCGUGAUCUGCUGAGAUUCUUUUUAGUUUCCUUUUUCUUGCUCUAUGUAUCUGCUGUGUUUCCUUUUCUGCUUCGUGUCCUUUGUCUUGUCUUGCAGGUAUUUGCGAGAAAUCCGACGGUGGCAAAGGCUUGAUGAUGGUCCACUGGUUGCGUUGAUCUCGGCGUGACUCGGAGCCUUAGGAUUGUGGCAUUGCUGGAGAGUGGCUGGAACGACGCGUCUGUUGGGAUGGCUUUUGGAAUCUUCUGCUUGCGGCGCAAGGAGAAAGAGAGGCAGAAACCCUAGGGUUUCAUGCCUCGGUGUAACAGUUUGGGCCAGUUGGGCCACUUUAGUCUUGGGUCCAUUUGGGUCUGUUGUAAUGGGUCUUAGGAGUAAGAUUUUAGAAAUGGGCUAGUAAUGUAACGGGUUUGGGUCUGCUGAGUUGUAACCGGGUAUAAGGUUUAGGCCAAUUGGUUUUGGGUCUACUGGUUGGUGGGCCAAUGUAAAUGGACUGUUACAUGGACUGUUUUAAAAACAAUUAUUUAUUUAUUUAUUUAUUUGGUUUACAGCCCGGUCAAAUUUGGGCUACUACACUACCCAUCUAGUUGGAAAUUAAGGAUGCUAUCUUGGCUGGUUGAAUGUCGGUUUUAAACCAUUAGUACUAAGGCAUGAACGGUGACAAAUUAUCGUCCACAAUUAAUGUACCUAGGUUUAUAUACUAAAGGCAUGUAGCCCAAUGCAUGAUAAUUUGGUUAUGAAUAAUCACUUAAUUGUGCUUGAUCUUGGAACACAAAUCAAAAUUUUAAAUAGUAUCAGGAUUAAUUUAAUUCGAUGGAAUGUCUCUGACCAUACUGGACUUUCAUAAAACUCUGUCUUUAUGAUGCUUCUUGACAAUGGAGAAGCAUACAAGAUGUAGGCACAUUCUAA